rnacentral:rRNA from 1 species
AACGAACGCUGGCGGCAGGCUUAACACAUGCAAGUCGAACGCACCGCAAGGUGAGUGGCAGACGGGUGAGUAACACGUGGGGAUCUGCCCAAGGGUACGGAAUAGCUGCUGGACACUCGAAUUAAUAGCGUAUAUGCUCUUCGGGGGAAAGAUUUAUCGCCAUUGGAUGAACGCGAGUCGGAUUAGCUAGUUGGUGAGGUAAAGGCUCACAAAGGCGACGGUCCGUAGCUGGUCUGAGAGGAUGAUCAGCCACACUGGGACUGAGACACGGCCCAGACUCCUACGGGAGGCAGCAGUGGGGGAUAUUGGACAAUGGGCGCAAGCCUGAUCCAGCCAUGCCGCGUGAGUGAUGAAGGCCUUAGGGUUGUAAAGCUCUUUCGCCGACGAAGAUAAUGACGGUAGUCGGAGAAGAAGCCCCGGCUAACUUCGUGCCAGCCGCCGCCGUAA